GGGCAGUGGCUUCUGAGCCAUUGGCCCCUUUCACGUUGUGAGUGGCAUCAGGAUGUCUGAGAGGAGAGCAUGGUGUUUUUGCUUCAUUGGAUCCAUGCAGGUCUUGGAGGGUGGUGGCCCACUCUUUCUGGGCCAAGUAGAGGGUGGCUCAGACACCCCCCCUUCCUCCAGGCUUCUCAUCUGUAACUGGUGAAGCCCGGAAGAGCUUGUUGUUCAAGAGGAAAUCUUGUGUUACUUCUUUAUGAAGGACUCCAGCCUGGUGGAGAUGAAUGAGUCCUGAAGAUGGAAUCGAAGCUGUUUGGGCACAAUACUUUAAUCAGCAUUUAAUGACCCAGUCGAAAAUUCAUUGUUUGGACCCAAGCACUGGUGGGAAAGGCAGGAGGGGAGGCCUGCCUUCCUUCCUCCCUCCCGAGCCCUACAGCAGGCCAUGGAGUGGUGAGCGAGUUCGUACAGUGCCAACCACAUUCCCAGAAACUUCCAGCAGAGGUUAAUCCUGCUCCUCUCAGGUGGGCUUGGCCCAUUCUCUAGACUUUGGAAGGUAAUGUUCUAUAGAGGCCUGUUCUGAAGCUUUACCAGGUCAAACCGGAGAAGAACCCAACAAGUAACUCAUCCCAGCCUAACUAUUCUUCAAGGGCAAUCAACCUACAGCAUCCAAGCACAGAGAAAUCAAAUCCAUGGAGAAUCUUCAAAUUAGGCUCAGAAUCCAUUUGGGUCAAUGAAUUUACUGUUAUUAAGAUCUUAGUUGUGUUCAACCAUGAUUUGACAUACCUUAGAGUGAGAAGAUAUUCUUCCUGGCCUCAGACUAGUUGAAGGUAGAGAGAGAGACAGGCCCUUGGGUGUGGGGAGACCUCUCCUGGGAUAAUACACACAAAAAACCAAGAGCUGCUCACUGUGGUGCAGGAGACAGCAGGGCCUGAAGCCAGAGGCUCUGUGUCCUUGAAUACAAUGUUUUACUCCUCUGACCCCUGUUACUGUGAUUUGGAGAGGCAGACAAUAUAGGAUGGGCUUUGCAGGCAGGGAGGUCCAGUUAUAAUCCCAGCUCUUACUAAGUUGGGUAAGACUCACUCUGAGACUUAGUUUCUUCUGUCAUCUCUCAAUAGAAUCAUAAAGGUACUUUCCUCUUAGUGUUGUUUUAAAAUUCAGUAAAAUAAUGCAGGCUUAGCACAGGGUCUGAUGUAAAUUUUCAAUGAAUUAUCGUUGUCAAUAUUGUUCUGGAAAACAAGAGGGCAUAUUAGAAGAUCAAAAGUACUGCCAAGCAUUGAAGUGCCAAUUCUAGAUCCAGUCUCAGCCCUCUGAGAAUGGAUAUCAUUGUUUUCAAGCCAUUCAGAAACCAAUGUGAAUUGAACACCUAGUAUGAGCUCUCUGAGGGAAGAGCCAAGUCAUGCAUUUUUUAUCUUAAGGGGUCUUCAAUACCUCUAGCCCAAAACAGUAUCUCCAUCAGGAUUCUUCUCUGAUAGUGUUCAUUUCUUUUUUCUCAAUGGAUGCCUUAAAAAAAAAAUCCUACAAGGAAACCUGUACUCCUCAAAUACACCACUCAGGUGACCAUUAAAUCAUUUACAUUGUUAAUUUCUUUUCAGAUGUGUGUCUUUUUCCCUAGUUACAUCAUCAGGACCUUGAAGGUAGGGACAGGUCUUAGAUUUCUUGAUGCCCCCAUAAAUCUAGGUACAGAGUAGGUCUCUGGACAUCAGUAUAAGGCCCAUGAGCCUGAUAGCUGCCCAGGUGGGUGCUGUGUGCCUGGGCGUGGGAAGGACAAAAGAGAGGUCACUAAAGGGGUUCCUGGGAAGGAAGAGCCCCUCUGACUUUAAAAGGGAGCCCAUACACUUUUUGGACAACUGGAAUAAUCAGAAAGCUGUUUUUGGGGAGGCAGCAGCCAGAAAAACCUGGGGCAUUGGGUCAACCAAAGCCCUUCCCAAGGCUGCAGUGGCUGCAGCUAGUUAGCCCAGCUUCCCUACCAGCCCCAGGGCUGCAACUGAACAGUGUUGGCUUCUUAAUAAAAACAGCACCAAUGCAAA
rnacentral:lncRNA from 1 species